GGGGGUGUAGCUUUGUGGUAGAGCGCAUGCCCAGCAUGCGUGAGGUCCUGGGUUCAAUCACCAGUGCCUCCA
rnacentral:tRNA from 1 species